AGAGUUUGAUCCUGGCUCAGGAUGAACGCUGGCGGCGUGCCUAACACAUGCAAGUCGAACGCGCUCCAUUCGGUAGCAAUACCGAUGAAGAGCGAGUGGCGAACGGGUGAGUAACACAUGAGCAACCUGCCCCGAAGACUGGGACAACACCGGGAAACCGGUGCUAAUACCGGAUAUCCCUAUCGGACCGCAUGAUCCGAUAAGGAAAUGUUUUUCGCUUCGGGAGGGGCUCGUGGCCUAUCAGCUAGUUGGUGAGGUAACGGCCCACCAAGGCAUCGACGGGUAGCUGGUCUGAGAGGACGAUCAGCCACACUGGGACUGAGACACGGCCCAGACUCCUACGGGAGGCAGCAGUGGGGAAUCUUGCGCAAUGGGCGAAAGCCUGACGCAGCAACGCCGCGUGGAGGACGAAGGCUUUCUGAGUUGUAAACUCCUUUCAGCAGGGACGAUAGUGACGGUACCUGCAGAAGAAGCACCGGCCAACUACGUGCCAGCAGCCGCGGUGAUACGUAGGGUGCAAGCGUUAUCCGGAUUUAUUGGGCGUAAAGAGCUCGUAGGCGGUUUGAUAAGUCGGGUGUGAAACCUCCAGGCUCAACCUGGAGCCGCCACUCGAUACUGUCAUGACUUGAAUUCGGUAGGGGACCACGGAAUUCCUGGUGUAGCGGUGAAAUGCGCAGAUAUCAGGAGGAACACCAGCAGCGAAGGCGGUGGUCUGGGCCGACAUUGACGCUGAGGAGCGAAAGCGUGGGGAGCGAACAGGAUUAGAUACCCNNGUAGUCC
rnacentral:rRNA from 1 species